rnacentral:rRNA from 1 species
UACAGAGGUCUCAAGCGUUGUUCGGAUUCAUUGGGCGUAAAGGGUGCGUAGGCGGCGCGGUAAGUCGGGUGUGAAAUCUCGGAGCUUAACUCCGAAACUGCAUUCGAUACUGCCGUGCUAGAGGAUUGGAGAGGUAGCUGGAAUUCUUGGUGUAGCAGUGAAAUGCGUGGAGAUCAAGAGGAACACUCGUGGCGAAAGCGAGCUACUGGACAAUAUCUGACGCUGAGGCUCGAAGGCCAGGGUAGCGAAAGGG